AUGGCAGAAGGAAUCGUGCGAACCGUAGUGCGAAGCGAAGGUGGCGUUGCGGCGUGCAGAAACAGAGACGGAACUGAGGAGCGUGCGAGCUGGAAAACAGUGAAAAGGAAACAGAGAAGAGUGCGAAGCGGGGAGGAAGUGACGCCGGCGGCGUUAACAGAAUUGAAAGGAUUUGGGAUGAAACCGGACCGUUCGGUUCAAUCAGUUGGACCGCGAAUCGGAAACAGAUUGGACCGUGAAUCGGAAACAGAUUGGACCGUGAAUCGGAAAACCGCGAUGUCGGAAAACCGGCAGCAAACCAGUGUAGGCGGUCAAAAUCGAUAG